AGAAUCAACGCUGGCGGCGUGCCUAACACAUGCAAGUCGAACGAGAAAGUGGAGCAAUCCAUGAGUAAAGUGGCGACCGGGUGAGUAACACGUGACUAACCUACCUUCGAGUGGGGGAUAACCUCGGGAAACCGAGGCUAAUACCGCAUAACAUCGUGAGAUCAAAGCAGUAAUGCGCUGGAAGAGGGGUCGCGGCUGAUUAGCUAGUUGGCGGGUAAUGGCCCACCAAGGCGAAGAUCGGUA
rnacentral:rRNA from 1 species